rnacentral:rRNA from 2 species
GGGCGUUAAGUUGCAGGGUAUAGACCCGAAACCCGGUGAUCUAGCCAUGGGCAGGUUGAAGGUUGGGUAACACUAACUGGAGGACCGAACCGACUAAUGUUGAAAAAUUAGCGGAUGACCUGUGGCUGGGGGUGAAAGGCCAAUCAAACCGGGAGAUAGCUGGUUCUCCCCGAAAGCUAUUUAGGUAGCGCCUCGUGAAUUCAUCUCCGGGGGUAGAGCA